UACGGAGGGGGCUAGCGUUGUUCGGAAUUACUGGGCGUAAAGCGCACGUAGGCGGCUUUGUAAGUGAGAGGUGAAAGCCCAGAGCUCAACUCUGGAACUGCCUUUAAGACUGCAUCGCUUGAAUCAUGGAGAGGUCAGUGGAAUUCCGAGUGUAGAGGUGAAAUUCGUAGAUAUUCGGAAGAACACCAGUGGCGAAGGCGACUGACUGGACAGGUAUUGACGCUGAGGUGCGAAAGCGUGGGGAGCAAACAGG
rnacentral:rRNA from 1 species